AAAGAACUAGGUCUGUAAACAUCCUGGCCUUUUGCCUAAUCCACUGUUGAGAGCUGUUGAGAGCAGACUUGUAAUGAACACAAAGGGUCCAGAAUUUGCCUUUGCUUUCUUUGGACAAGUUAAUUCCUUUUUCAAAACCUCUGAAACGGAUCCACUCGAGAUUCCGCGCACUAGCCUAACGCAUCCUGCUUUCUUGACCCUGCUGGCGGCCACCGUCAAGCUCCAGUGACGUGGGAUGCCACUCAAGACCCAGGCCUUAUCCCAAGCUCUCAUUUAGGCCCAGGUCGAGCGCCUGGAUUCUCUACCGCCUCCCUCUUCUCCCCGACUGGGAUCGGUCAGGGUCGGCUAAUGGGGUUUGAAAGCUCCCAGAACUGCAGCCUCUAGAAGUCCAAUGCGCUAUCCAUUGCGCCACGGAGCCACCUGUUGGAGUUUCCGCGCAUCUGCCGUAUUAAGCCAGAGGCGGGCGGGCCGGCUCCCUCCCGGUCGCCUCCCGUCGCCGGAGUCCAGCCGCCGUGCCUAAGACGCUUCCAACGUUUUAUCGGUAUUGACAGAACACGUGUGGACUAUGGACGACGAAGGCAGUAGCCAGAGGCUCAGCACGUUUACGUUGGGUCCCUGAACCCGGAUUCUCUGAGGAACAAGGCAUGUGGGUCCCAGAUGGCAUGCUUGCACACAAAAUGGUUUUCAUUAUAGGAGAGGACUGCUGAGCUCAGAAACUACAAUGUUUUAGGGCGAGCGGUAAGCAAGCCUGUUCUUUGUUCUGCAGGGAGACAUUACCUCAUCUCUCAGAACUGCUCCCUGCAAACACAAUUCUGAAAAAGGGCCCAAAGAAAGUGAUCAGUCUUGCGUUCUUGGCACAAUCAAGAAGAGCAUGAAAUGACACUGAUGGUGAAUUGCGUCUACAAACAGUGACAGAGUUCUGUCUGACGCCAGGCCGAUUUCAUUCCAUAAGAACGCUUUCCUUAACAACAAGGAUCUUAAACUUUGUUAUGCCGCUUAAAAUGGGCAAUACCCCUUACAAUACAAUACAACAAAACCCAGCUAUUUAUAAACAGAAUCUUUACUGAAGGCUGCAAUGUGCCACACACUAAUAACAUCUUAAAUGCUCCAGUGGUUCUUAAACUUGUUUACAGCUCAAGUAGGGAAAGAGACGCUCAAUGCUCUGUUCGAAAACCAUGCACAGAGAUUUUGCCUGGAGGCAUUGGUGCAAAAAAUUCUGAGACGUCAUUGAUGUGCUUAGCGAUUGUGACUCAUAUUCAGAAGUUCUGAGGAAGGGAACAGAAAAGCAUAUGCUAAGCAAAGAUGUGCAGCUGCCAGGGCCAAGAGGAGUCACUCAGUGUAGACUGCUUUCUUAGCGUGUAUGAGAAACCGUGUCUACCUCCAGCAUCACCACCAACAAGCCAAAAUGGCCACUCAUCACUUCCUUAAAAGGAUGACUGACCUGCGAUGCUCUGCAUCCUUUAGUUUUUGAGAAACAGCGAUUUUCCUCCUAUUUUUCUCUCAUUAAAAUUUGAUUUUUUCACAA